ensembl:snRNA U6 U6 spliceosomal RNA
UUGCUCUCUCUGGCAGCACUUCCACUAAAACUGGAACCAUGCGGAGGUCAGCAUGGCCCCUGCAGAAGGAUGACGGCAAAUCUGUGAAGCGCUUUAUAUUUGU